AUCUCCAUGGCCUAGUGGCUUAAGGCACUGGUAUUCUAAGCUAGGGACUAAGGUUCAAUUCCUGGAGAGA
rnacentral:tRNA from 1 species